AGCGAACGCUGGCGGCAGGCUUAACACAUGCAAGUCGAACGGGCAUAGCAAUAUGUCAGUGGCAGACGGGUGAGUAACGCGUGGGAACAUACCUCUUGGUUCGGAACAACACAGGGAAACUUGUGCUAAUACCGGAUAAGCCCUUACGGGGAAAGAUUUAUCGCCGAGAGAUUGGCCCGCGUCUGAUUAGCUAGUUGGUGUGGUAAAAGCGCACCAAGGCGACGAUCAGUAGCUGGUCUGAGAGGAUGAUCAGCCACAUUGGGACUGAGACACGGCCCAAACUCCUACGGGAGGCAGCAGUGGGGAAUAUUGGACAAUGGGCGCAAGCCUGAUCCAGCCAUGCCGCGUGAGUGAUGAAGGCCUUAGGGUUGUAAAGCUCUUUCGGCGGGGACGAUAAUGACGGUACCCGCAGAAGAAGCCCCGGCUAACUUCGUGCCAGCCGCCGCGGUAAU
rnacentral:rRNA from 1 species